UACGAAGGGUGCAAACGUUGCUCGGAAUCAUUGGGCGUAAAGCGCACGUAGGCGGCCUAGUAAGUCGGAUGUGAAAUCCCACAGCUCAACUGUGGACGUGCAUCCGAAACUGUUAGGCUCGAGUAUGGAAGAGGGUCGCAGAAUUCCCGGUGUAGAGGUGAAAUUCGUAGAUAUCGGGAGGAAUACCAGUGGCGAAGGCGGCGACCUGGACGAGCACUGACACUCAACUACGAAAGCGUGGGGAGCAAACAGG
rnacentral:rRNA from 1 species